AAUGCGUUUUGAGAUGGUCCUGCGUCCUAUCAGCUAGUUGGCGGGGUAACGGCUCGCCAAGGCUAUGACGGGUAUCCGGCCUUAAAGGGUGAACGGACACACUGGAACUGAGACACGGUCCAGACUCCUAUGGGAGGCAGCAGUGGGGAAUUUUGGACAAUGGGGGAAACCCUGAUCCAGCGACGCCGCGUGGAGGAUGAAGGCCUUCGGGUUGUAAACUCCUUUUAGAGGGGAAGAAAUAAAUGACGUUACCCUCAGAAAAAGCCACGGCUAACUACGUGCCAGCAGCCGCGGUAAUACGUAGGUGGCGAGCGUUACUCGGAAUUACUAGGCGUAAAGCGUAUAUAGGCUGUCGUAUAAGUCUUUAGUAAAAUUUCUCGGCUCAACCGGGAAAAGCUUAAGGAUACUGUUCGACUUGAGUGUGGGAGAGGGAAACGGAAUUCCUGGUGUAGCGGUGAAAUGCGUAGAUAUCAGGAGGAACACCGAUGGCGAAAGCAGUUUCCUGGACCAAUACUGACGCUGGUGUACGAAAGCUAGGGUAGCAAACAGGAUUAGAUACCCUGGUAGUCCUAGCUGUAAACUAUGUUCACUAGAUGUGGGGGGUAUCGACCCCUUCCGCGUCGUCGUUAACGCAUUAAGUGAACCGCCUGGGGAGUACGGCCGCAAGGUUGAAACUCAAAGGAAUUGACGGGGGCCCGCACAAGCGGUGGAGUAUGUGGUUUAAUUCGACGCAACGCGAAAAACCUUACCUGGGCUUGAACUGCUGAUGGUAAAAACCAGAAACGGCAAUGACCCGCAAGGGAGUCAGCAGAGGUGUUGCAUGGCUGUCGUCAGCUCGUGUCGUGAGAUGUUGGGUUAAGUCCCGCAACGAGCGCAACCCUUAUCCCAUGUUACCUGUAGCGAUACAGGGUCUCUGAGGAAACUGCCAUUGAUAAAAUGGAGGAAGGUGGGGACGACGUCAAGUCAUCAUGUCCUUUAUGUCCAGGGCUACACACGUACUACAAUGGCCGGUACAGAGGGUAGCAAUAUCGUAAGAUGGAGCAAAUCCCUGAAAGCCGGCCCCAGUUCGGAUUGUGGGCUGCAAUUCGUCCACAUGAAGUAGGAAUC
rnacentral:rRNA from 1 species